AUUGAACUCUGGCGGCAGGCCUAACACAUGCAAGUCGGGCGAGCUGCGGACGGGUGAGUAAUGUAUGGGGAUCUUCCUGAUGGCUGGGGAUCACUACUGGAAACGGUAGCUUAUACCGCCUACCAUCAGAUGAACCCAUAUGGGAUUAGCUUGUAGGUGGGGGAACGGCUCACCUAGGCGACGAUCCCUAGCUGGUCUGAGAGGAUGAUCAGCAACACUGGGACGGAGACAGGGCCCAGACUCCUACGGAAGGCGGAAGUGGGGAAUAUUGCACAAUGAGCGCAAGCCUGAGGCAGAAAUGCGGCGGGUAGGAAGAAGGCCUUAGGGUUGUAAAGUACUUUAAGCGGGAAGGCGUUACCCGAAGAAGAAGCACCGGCUAACUCCGUGCCAGCCGCCGCGGUAAUAC
rnacentral:rRNA from 1 species